rnacentral:rRNA from 1 species
GACGAACGCUGGCGGCGUGCUUAACACAUGCAAGUCGAACGAGUGGCGAACGGGUGAGUAAUACGUGGGUAACCUGCCCUCCUUUUUGGGAUAAGCCUUGGAAACGGGGUCUAAUACCGAAUAAAGGGGGAUGGGCUCUCGGCCUAUCAGCUUGUUGGUGGGGUAAUGGCUACCAAGGCGCGACGGGUAGCCGGCCUGAGAGGGUGUACGGCCUCAUUGGGACUUAGGUACGGCCCAGACGCCUACGGGGGGCAGCGGUGGGGAAUAUUGCGCAAUGGGCGGAAGCCUGAUGCAGCGACGCCGGGUGGGGAAUGAAGGCCUUCGGGUUGUAAACUCCUUUCGACAGGGACGCGGUACCUGUAUAAGAAGCACCGGCUAACUACGUGCCAGCAGCCGCGGUAAUAC